UUCACUGCAUCAUUUUGGCAGGCUAGCACCACCUGCCAGCUACCAGCAUAGCAACUAUAGAAACCCCAUAUGCUGUUCUAGUCCUUUACUGCAAGGAAGAACUAGUGUCCAGAGCCUUCCAAAUAAACACCACCCUUUGUGGAACAGCAGCAGCAGUAGUCACUCCUCGUGAUGACGGAUCUGGUGGCUUUCCACUGUGCCAGCUGUGGGAUGGGGUUCCGCUCCAGGCGGCUGCUAGAGAAGCACAUGGAAAAAUUCUGCAUUGGAGAGGAGACUGCAUCUGAUGCCAGAUACCGAAACAGGCAAGCCCUCUGUAAGGGGAAAGAACCUAAGAAAGCAGAGACUCCAAACAGAAUGCAUCAUCAGCUACAAGCACCAAAAAAGAAGCAGCAACACUUGGAUGGGGAAUAUGAGGAACAAGCACACCACUCCAGAAGCUUUGAUCAUAAAGGAAGCGUUUCAGACAGCCAGGCCUUGAAGAAAUUGACUGAAGAGUUUCACAAACUGAGGAUGUCACUGGAAGACACUCUUCCUACAUUCAGGACAUUCCAGGCAGAGGAUAACGACAGACACCAACGGGAAUACUGGCAGCGCCAACAGCAAAUGGCAGAAGUACAUGAGCGCCAUUUGGCAGAUAUCCAGGCCAGAAACCAGUACCUGGAGCAGCAGAGGGAUGAGAUCCAUAAGCGCCUGUCCGAACUGAAACUAGGGAACUCAGCUACAUCUCAUAUUGAACAGCUGCUGGUGGAGUUGACUACCCAGGAGGGAAAGAACCAACAGGCUUUGGAUGCUCUGCGGGAACAGGUAGAACUCCUGCAGGUAUCAGCAGAGACCAGAAGCAAACCCAAAUCUCCCACCAACAGAAAGACAGACAGUGCUGAGGGCAACAUAGAGAAGAAGGUCUUCAAGUCGAUGUCAUUUCCUGCAGCAGUUGGACCCCUCUCUUCAGAGAUACAGGCCCUUUACCUGGCUUAUUUGCAGGGGGGAGGCAGUGACCAUAACAUCCUCCGUCAGAUGUAUGAGCUGCAGGUGGAGGCCAUAGCCCUGGAGAAAGGAGGAGAAAGGCCUGAGCACAAGGGUAGAAAGAAGAAACAUGAAGGUAGCCCAAACUCCUACCCACGGGGUUUGGAUGCUGAGCUCCUGUCUGUUGAGCUGGAGAAUCAGAGGCUGGAAGAUGAGAUAUUAAAGUUGAAGAUCCUGAAGGACAGAAGGAAAAUAGAAGAUGGGUUUUCAGGCACAGAGCUGGCACAGCUGCAACGGUUACACAUGGCAGAGAUGGCUCAGCUGCAUGCAGAGAUUGGCAGCCUGAGACAUGACACAGAGAGGAUGAAGCCACGACAUCCCAGGAGGCGGUCACCACUACCCCGGCUGCCACCUCCUAUAGCUCCACCCCUGCCACCUCCUCCCCCUCAGCAUCUUCUUGGAUUGCCUGACCCUACCUUUCCAGCUAGUAACAUGGACCCCAUGAGAGCAUCUGCCACAGCUAUGAGCCGGUACUUCCUGGACCCUUCUGAUGCCCUGGGACCAGCUCCAUAUGAUCCGGCGUCUGGCUUUGUGAUAUUCUAUGAUUUUCUUUUGGGCCUGGAUCCCUCAUUCUAUCAAGUCUGCCUGGUCUCUGGCCUGUUCCGCAAUGGGCAAGAGUUGGGCAAGCCCACCCCACUGCCCAUUGUCUCCUCUGAUAUGGGCCAAUACCCACAGUAUGUGACUGAUGGGCAAAGAGGGUGCUGCGCCAUCUUAGCAGCUAGGCAACCAGUCCCAAGAGUCCUUCCUUCGACCACCAUCACCCUCAUAACUGAGCUUCAAGCAUCUGGAGGCUUUGAUGCUUAUGGGCUGGAGAUCCAGAAUUUGGCCCCCAGGGGGUGGGCCAAAAUCAACAUCUUUGACCAUCUACAUCAAGUGAUGUGUGGGCGCUGGAAGAUCCCCAUCCGGGUGCUUCCUAUGAAGCCAAGCCUUACUCCAGAACAGUUGAAUGGGGUGCCCCAGGUGGGCAAAGCAGAGCUGUACUUGCGACUAGUGAAUGCAAGAGAUGCUGACAUGCAGUCAAUGGCAGAGAUUCAUCCAGGCAAUGCCUCCUUGUACAAAUACCCUCCUACAGUGUCCAGUCGCACAGCACCCCCUACAGACUUUCCUCCAGCCCAGCGCUCUUUCCACCCUGCCCCCACCAGCCUGUUCUUCUCUGUCCCUCCUUACACUGGCUUUGUUGACUCUCCUCCUGAUCAGGAACAGCCUCUCCAAUACAAACCCAAUAAAAGGAAAUUUGAAGCAGUGCUCGAGUGGCCACAAUCCCAGCAGAAUGAAAGAAGACAAUUAGGGUUCAUCCUUGAUAGAGUAAAAGGUGCCCCACCGGGAGAUGGGGCUGUCCGGCUAACUGGUUACCAUCAGAAAACUGGUCAGGUGAUUGCCACCAAGGACUCGGGACUGAAUUACUGCACCGAUUCCAUGAGAUCCAAUAUUAAACAUGGCUACUUCAUGUUUGGAGAACAGGAGGAAACCUUCUGGGAUGUCGAGCCGCAGCAGGACAUGAUCCUUAUUGCUCGCUUUUACCACUGGCCCAGUGGGAGGGUAGCACCCACCCCCUGGGACAAAGGAUUCAAGCCUCAACACCAGCCACUACUAGGGAGUGAUGAAUGGCUGGCUGCCUGGGCUGUGCUCAGACUGACCAAGCUGUAUGAAUCCCAUAAAGUGAUGGUUGGAGGUACAAUGAAGAAACUGGAACCUGGGAUGCCUGUCUGGAACACAGGGACUCAUACACUGACUCUCUAUCAUGGCCCUGUGCCACCUGAUGUAGCUCUGUCAGUGACGUCAAUGGAAGAGAAUCAUCAGGACUUCAAUAUAUAUGGUGAUGCUACUUUAAGACUGCACAUCUUCAGCACCCAGAAACCUGAGCAGCCUUUCCCACCAGAGUCACCACCUCCACUUGACCCAGCAAAAACCUGGCCUCAUGAAGCUUUUAUUCAUCAUUUCAGGGAGACACCUCCUGUAGAGCCUUUCAGAGCUGGAGAUGGCUUUGACCUAUACAUUGAUGGAGCCCGCUUCCUGCCUGAUGGUGUCACUGUUACCAAGGUCACUGCUCGCAUCUUGACCAGUGGUUUCAUGCAAAUUGGGCCAGACAUUUGCACUGGGAUUGACCUGAAUAGCAGCAUAUUUGAUCCACUUUACAACUACUCAGUUGAAAUCAGAGAGCCAGUGAUAGCACCUUGUGCAACUCUUCUAUUAAAGGUUUAUUCCAUCAAUCGCUUAACCUCUGAGCUCAUCCAGAUCGGUUGGGCAGCUCUCAAUGUUUUUGUGGAAUGUGGAACACACACAGCCCCUGAACCAGAGGCCAAGGGGAUCCAGGUCUCCCUCAAUGAUGGUGCUCAUCAGCUCCGUAUUUUUCACAACAGUCCCUGCCCAGAUCAGCCCUUAUCUACCAGCUCUCUGACAAAAAUAGGACGGUAUGUGCCAUGUGCAACCCUGCUAGUGAGGCUUAUCAAGGCGCCUGUAAAUUCCAGCCAUCAAACUUUACAAAGAAGCAUGGUCCCUCAGACAAACUGGGCCAAAGUGGGCCUCUUUCAGCCCAGGCCUGACUAUUCUAAUGCUGUCUAUUACUCAGACUCGGCCAAGCCUACUGCAGGAGAAAGUUGCUUCUAUGAAGUCAUGACCAACAGGUCUGUUGUUUCAGUGCGGGAAAUAGUUCAGCAGCUUGAAGGUCCUAAGAGUUUAAGAACAGAUGAGGAGAUUGUCACCUGGAUCCACCGGAAACUAACCCGGGUGCCAGGCAGCAGUCCACAGCCUUUCAGCCUCACUUAUGUCUCCAGAUACAUUCCCACCUAUGGCAUCAAGUUUGCAUUGGACAGCGGCAUGAAUUUACCAUGGUCUGGCUUGACAAUCGCCCAAUUCUGCUUUAAUCCACCUGGGGCAUGUUACUUUGGGGCCCAAUGGCUGAAGUAUGAUUAUCCCAUCUUUGUUGAGGAGUUUGACAAAAACAGCUACCAGCAAUGGCCUGUGUGGCUUGAUGGCUUCAAGACCUGUCCCCACAGAGUUUACCAUGAAUAUACAGUCAUUAUUAUCCACCUGUACCAAGGUGUGGUGAAUCCUACCCAGUGUGCCUCAGGUGAAAAAGAAUGCCAAGCAGCACAAAGAAGAGUCAUGCUUAAAGGGGAACAGUUACAUUACACUCAGAAAAGUGGGGCAUGGACAGCUCUUCAUGUGUUUUCCAGAGGUUACUGCAACACCGGCAUUUACCAACUGCCCUUAUACCAGGGGGCUCCCAGUCAGAUCAUCCUGGCUUCCUUAUCUGAAGGAAAAUGCAGCAGCAUUAUUAAGAGCAUGCUCCAAAAGAAAGAGAUCCAGUUGUUGCCAGGUGCAUCUGUGGUUGUGCGCAUAGCAGAUGGAAGAUGGGAUGAACUCAAAUAUACAUCAGGGAGUAUCGAUCAAUCUUAUCUGCCAGAGACAACAGAUCUGUACAAUAAGGAACCCUCUGGAGGAAAAAUGGCAGAAUUAAUGUUGCAGGAGACUUCAAGAAAACAGGUAAAAUUGGGCUAUAGCCCUAUUUAUGAAUGGAACAAUUUCUCAACUAGCAACAGCCACAUUGCAGCUCUCCGAUGACAUAACUGGAAUUAUAAUUUAACUGCAAGGUUUUAAGUACACCCAUUCUAGUGAGAUCAGAACAAAUGAAACUUCCUACGUGCAUUUCCUGACCGAAAGCUUUGCUCCACAUUCUCCAUAAGCAGCGCAGGUUUAAUUGUGACUUGCACGUUUUUCUUUCAGACAAAGCUGAAGGCAUUGGAACAAAUUUAAAGAGAAGGAACAAGACAUCUUAGGCUAUACACUAGCUUACUCUACUGGUAAUAAUUACACACCACAGACCACCUGAAUGAAGCUUGUGGACCACUGGUGGUUGAUGGACCAAUUCAGGAACUCCUGAAUUGCCUUAGAGCAGGCAACUGAAGAAACCAGUCAUCAUAGGAAACAAAUAUAUAAGCUUUAGAAAAGGAACAUCAUACCCCUUCCACAAACUCCUAUGCUGAAGCGUGUUAGCAAAAUUUAGCACUUAUAUUAGGGAAAUCUGCACUUCUUCCUUACAAAGUUGCCAGUUCUGUUGCAGGGAGUCUUGAACACAGCAGAGGAAGCUCUAUUAACGUCCUACCUUUCCUUUAAGUUGCUCAAUACAGUGUGCAUGGUUCUCUCUCCCCCCAUUUUAUCCUCACAGCUCUGAGGUAAGACUAAGAGACAGUAAGGUCCAAAGCCAGUCAGUGAGCUUCAUGGCUAAAUGGAGAUUUGAACCCUGGUCUUCCAGACCCCACCUAGUACCACAGUCUUCACAGCAAUGCUUCUGCCAGUUCCAGAACCUAGUGUGAUGAAAGCUCACCAUGUGGUAGACAAAGAGAAGACUUGAAAGCACAGGUUCUGCAGAAAGGCUAGCUAAUGAUUCAAGUCAAGAUUUGUGGACUGCUUGACAAAAAGGAUUUACAAACAGCUUUAGAGGAUUAUCUAUUUUCCUCCUGUAUUAGUUUUGAACUGCUUGUCUUUCACAUUGUAUCUUACUCCUCAUAUGUAUUGGCUGUUCAACUAGCAAAUCCUUCAUAAGCAGAAUUAAAACCAAUGUUUGGAAAGUGCAGCCAAUUUUGCAUUGAACACUAUUCCUUGUCAGUAAAUGUGAUUCAGAGUAACCCUACUCAUAUAUUCAUUCUACAUUAUAAUUAUAAUAUAGAAUUAUAAUUAGUGAUAAUUAUAAUUCUUGCUCCAAAAGCACAUUUCUCAGUAGUUCUAGCUAAUCACCAGCACUUUGCAUGUCAAUUCACUUCUUGCCCAGGUCUUUCCUGAGGCUACCCUGAUGAACAGCUCAUCUUAUCAGCUGGAUAUCUUCCUCAUGUUUGACCUCGCUGUCUUCAUAGUUUGAGUAGCAGGAAAAAAAUACAGUACCCAGUUCUAUAAUGUUAAGGCAAAAAAGGAGAUGUCACAAGAGGACAUACUUUCAGUUGAGUUAAAAAUUGGUUGACCGUUUGCAGAGAAUUACUUCAGAAGGUAGUGUAUUGUUGCAAAAAAGCUGCUUCAAUAGCAGUUUUUUAAAACAAUAGCAAGCUUCUGAUAAUUAAGCAGAUACCAUGCACAUUAUCAAGCACAGCCCUUUCCCUUUCUGUAGCAAAUCACUGUUGCUGUGAUAUGAGGAAGAGGAGAUGCAACCUGUUCCCAAGUUCCUGUAGGUUUUGGAGACCUGCUUUUGGGCUUUUAAACAACUGUAAUAAAAGACACGGUGGAAAGGUUACAGAAAUUAGUUUAACCAUGGGUCCUGUACUAGGAGACCACAAUGCUCCACGUGCUUCAUUGAAACUAGUUUAUGAGUUAAAAUGUAUGAAUGCAUUCAUUGUGUCAGUAGACAAGAGAAGAAGAAGAGGGGUUUGGAUUUGAUAUCCCGCUUUAUCACUACCUGAAGGAGUCUCAAAGCGGCUAACAAUCUCCUUUUCCAUUCCUCCCCCACAACAAACACUCUGUGAGGUGAGUGGGGCUGAGAGACUUCAAAGAAGUGUGACUAGCCCAAGGUCACCCAGCAGCUGCAUGUGGAGGAGCGGAGACAUGAACCCGGUUCCCCAGAUUACGAGUCUACCGCUCUUAACCACUACACCACACUGGCUCCUGAUAGCAUAGGGGACAAAUAAAGAAGGGAGGAGCACUGAGAAGGAUAUGGGCUUUUUAAUAAGAAUGGAGAAAGAACAAGCAUCUAGAAGGAAAAACAGGCUAAAGUUUUAACAGACCCUACUAUAAUCCUGAACCUUCGGAACAAACUGCCUACUUCAGUUUUCCUAUGCUCUAGAAAACAUACAUAAUCGGAAAUAGUUUCCAUGAAAACAAUGUUCCUUUCUCAAUCACAGAAACAUUGAACCAGCUCUUAAACAGGCUUGAAUGCUCAUCUUUAUACUUCACC